GCAGCCUCUUUUUCUGUUGUAUUUGUCUUUAAGAAGGAUGGCUCAUGAUGCCCAGUUCUGAUGACAGAACCUGGAUAAAGACUAUUAAAAUGAACUCUGGUCUUGUCUGGGCCCCAACUGGCUGGGAUAUUGUGCUGCAUGCUCAGAUGGCAUUUUGAGACCCAGCCGUCCUUCUUGGAUUUCCCUCCAGCCAGAACCUCCAGCAAAAGUUUCUGUGGAGACAUUUCGCCUGCAGCUUAGAAUAUCUACUAUUUCUCCUGGAUGAGACUCCCACUCCAUAAGAAAAUCCUUCCCUGGAACAGAGGGCUGGGAGAAAGACAAGCAAUUACCGUUGCUUCCUAUAUUGUUUACUGAACUCUUUAAAACACAAGAAUCUAUUUUAAGAACAUGGGUCCUUAAUUUGGCUUGCUCACGGAAGUAUGGUAUGUCAUGGGACUACAAGAAGAUGAAAAUUCUACAGCAGUACAGCUGAACUUUUCCAAGAGCUCAGCACCAGGUUUAACCUUACUAUUAUCCACAGGUAAUUCACAGAUGAGGAAACUGAAGCUUAGAGAGUUAAAUAACUUGCUUGAGGUGACGCAGUAAAUAAAUAGCAGACGCAGUACUUGGAUAUAAUCUCUACUGCCUCUUACCACACUGGCCCAGGAUACAUGCUGUUUAGCAAAGCCAUUAUCGGAGUCCUUCAUAUCUAGGGGCAAGAAGGCCAGAUAAGGAGAGACCAGGGAAAGAGAAUAGCAGUGAUCCUAUGCCCUCCCUUUAUGACAUUCCUUCUAAGUUCUUGCCCCACAUCCUAAU
rnacentral:lncRNA from 10 species